GCCGUCGUGGGCCAUGGCGGCCAUCCCCCGAAUCAUUGUAGAAUAUUUCGAAAGUGAAUGGGGCAGACGGAGGUUCGAAUCCUCCCGAUGGCA